rnacentral:rRNA from 1 species
AACGCGAAGAACCUUACCCAGACUUGACAUGCAGAUGACCGCUCUAGAAAUAGGGUUUUCCUUCGGGACAUUUGCACAGGUGCUGCAUGGCUGUCGUCAGCUCGUGCCGUGAGGUGUUGGGUUAAGUCCCGCAACGAGCGCAACCCUUAUCAUUAGUUGCCAACACGUAAAGGUGGGAACUCUAAUGAGACUGCCUGGGUUAACCAGGAGGAAGGUGAGGAUGACGUCAAGUCCGCAUGGCCCUUAUGUCUGGGGCUACACACGUGCUACAAUGGUCGGAACAGAAGGCAGCGAAGCCGCGAGGUGAAGCAAAUCCGCAAAUCCGAUCUCAGUUCAGAUUGUAGUCUGCAACUCGACUACAUGAAGAUGGAAUUGCUAGUAAUGGCGAGUCAGCAACAUCGCCGUGAAUACGUUCCCGGGCCUUGUACACACCGCUCGUC